GCUUCUCGAAUGCUUUUCUCCAUAUGUUCUAAAAGUCCCUCUGUGCACCUCUAUUUUUCCUCCUUUGUGAAGUAAGCAUCUUGGAUGAAAUGACUGUCAGAGAGGCCUUCCUCGCCCCCAUACAUAAUAUUAGAGGAAGAACAAGUUGAUCAUCCAUCUGAUAGAAUGAGAAUUUGGAAGUAAUCUUCCAUGAAUUCCACAUCUGCAAAGAAAUAAAUUCUGUCAACAACCUGAAUAGGAGUUUGAAAGCAGAUUCUUCUCCAGUUGAGCCUCUGAUGAGACCUCAGUCCUGGCCAACACAUGGAUUACAGCCCAAUGAGACCCUGAAGCUAGGAACCAGAUUAGCUUUGCUCAGAUUUUUAACCUAGAGAAACUGUGAGAUAAUAA
rnacentral:lncRNA from 1 species